rnacentral:rRNA from 1 species
UACGUAGGGUGCGAGCGUUGUCCGGAAUUACUGGGCGUAAAGAGCUCGUAGGUGGUUUGUCGCGUUGUUCGUGAAAACUCACAGCUUAACUGUGGGCGUGCGGGCGAUACGGGCAGACUGGAGUACUGCAGGGGAGACUGGAAUUCCUGGUGUAGCGGUGGAAUGCGCAGAUAUCAUCAGGAAUACCGGAGGCGAAGGCGGCUCACUGGGGGUUUUCUGACGCUGAGGAACGGAAAGCCAGGGGAGCGAACGGG